GAUGAACGCUAGCGGCAGGCCUAAUACAUGCAAGUCGGGCGGGAUUGAGUAGCUUGCUAUUCAUGAGAGUGGCGCACGGGUGCGUAACACGUAUGUAACCUACCCUUGUCAGGGGGAUAGCCUCUCGAAAGAGAGAUUAAGACCGCAUAACAUUGUAAUGUGGCAUCACAAAACAAUAAAAUAUUUAUAGGACAAGGAUGGGCAUGCGGAACAUUAGCUAGUUGGUAAGGUAACGGCUUACCAAGGCUACGAUGUUUAGGGGAUCUGAGAGGAUGACCCCCCACACUGGUACUGAGACACGGACCAGACUCCUACGGGAGGCAGCAGUAAGGAAUAUUGGUCAAUGGGCGGAAGCCUGAACCAGCCAUGCCGCGUGCAGGAAGACGGCCCUAUGGGUUGUAAACUGCUUUUGCAGGGGAAUAAACCUCGAUACGUGUAUCGAGCUGAAUGUACUCUGAGAAUAAGGAUCGGCUAACUCCGUGCCAGCCGCCGCCGUAACAC
rnacentral:rRNA from 1 species